ACAAAAAUUACAAUUUCAAACAAGUAGAGACAAAACACUUUUCCUUCACAAGAAAGACCACACGACCAAGAAAGAAGGGGGAAUAAGCAAUUAAGCAUAAGUUUGUUUCAACAAUUCAAAAGAUGCAAGAUUAACUGUACACAAUAAUAACAGGGAGUACGAAUAUUUCAGCAGUGGAUGCAAUAAAUUAGAGAUGAUUUUAAGCAUCAUAAUUGACGUUGUUAGAGUACUAUACAUAUGGCCAUGUAGUCAUUUAUAUUUACCCCAUUGUAUAAGGGGUUUCCUGCAUCUUUAUCUUUACCUAAUAAUAAAGGACGGAGGCUUUCAUAGUUCUCCAUCCGUCAUCCCUUUACAUCCGUUAAUUUCUGUGUCAAGCGCAAAGAUCAACGACUCAGAUCUAUUACCUAUUAUUACAAUGUAUGCCACCGCCGAGCGACAAAACGGUUCGUUCGUUCUUUCUUUUUUUUUCCUUACUAAGUCUUUUUCUGCCACAUCCCACGCACGACGCAGCCCACGCUGCCUAAAAAAACUCUCGAUCCCCUCCUCUCCCUCUCCCUACCAUCGCCGCCACUGUUGACUAGAUCGAGGUGCUAGCGGCCCGAUGCACCUGGCGGCUACCGGAUCCGUCCCCCCUUCGGAUCCACUAGCUCAACGCUCUCUGCCACCGCCAUGUCCACCAUGGCGGCCAGCAAUGCAAGGUGUCCCUUGGCGUUCGGCCGUCCCCAUACGGCGGCAUUAUGUCGGCGCCCCACGUCCAGGUCUACGCUCUUCUCCGUCGGCAGCCUCCACCAUGUCGCCACCUCCUUGCUGCCGGACGAGACAUCCUCUGCAUCAUAGUCAUCUUGGUUGCCGGUGAAAGCCUGCUCUUUCUCCUCUGGGAUCGAUUUCACCUUCAUCUUGCUCUGCCACGGGUGGAUCUUCAGUCCCCUGGCAUAUGUGUUGUCCUUUCUAUACUCCCGCCGGCUGGCCGGCUGUGUGUGUGUCAUGGGUGGCUUGACGUGCGCGCUCUAUUGGCAUAGGAAGCGGGCUGUUGCAGGCAGGGGAAAAUCUGUUGGCUACUUGCAGAGGAGGAUUAGGAUUGUAUAGCACAAUCAGGAGAGCUCGUUUGAUUUGUUUUGGUCUAGAUUAGUCAAACCGUGAAUUGAUAUUUGUUUCGUGGUACAGGAGCUUCAAGGCAACAGGGGCAAUAGGAUUUGACAACAACACAUUCAAUGAGUUUCUUCCCAAAUCUGAAACUAUUUGGCUCUAAAUUGCAAUCCCCUUGAGAAAGUUAAGAGUAUUUAUGGACUGGUUUAUGGAUGUUGCAAAUUUGAUUGCAGCAGGGACCAGCAAAGAAAGUGCAGUGCUCUCCGUUGAUAGAUAUAUUCAGGGCAACAUCAAACUUCAGUGAGAAUGAACAUGACCAGGCAGGGAGCUUCAUGCAUCAUUGGAUCUGAGAAAUGUUUACUACUGUGAAUUGUUUAUGUUUCUUGGAGACACUAACCGUAGCUUCUUAUUAGUGCCCAUGGUGAAAGAGCUAUAUUGUUGUGCCUUUCUUGGAUUCAGGUUCUUCUACUCCAAAUGGCCGCUUGUCAUCCGCGAGCGCAGUGAGCAGUGCCUGCUGGAGUCGUAGCGCAGGACUCCUGCUACCGGCGGGAGUAAUAUUUACCGAGGACGCUCAACUUGGCCGACCCUGAUGGCUGCGCCCGGUACACACUCACGCGCAUCAUCGGCGAUCCGCACACGUAUGCCGUGUUAGAGGCGUCGCUGCGUCUCAUCGCCGAGCUGCGCCAGUCCAACAACUCAGACCUAUGAACACAUGUUCACACGCAAGUUCGCGCCCGACUGCCUUGGCCCGCUCAUGGCCAUCGCAGACACAGUCAUCUUCCAAGAUUGAUUGAUGUGGCGCUCUGGAUCAUAGCUACACGUAGGAGGUAUUUCUAGCGCCUGAUUUCUCAAAAGUUUCAGAGGUUCUAGACAUUACUUCUUCUUGUUUUAUACUUUAUCUGAAUUGAGUUUUCAUUCCCGUUUUUCAGAAGUUAGUUGUAUCCAACAACAACAUAAUACAUGCUCACUAGGAUGUUUUCUUUUGAAUUUCUAGACAUUACUUGUAAAAGCAGUAGCAACUGAGUGCUCAUUACAUGUUCUUAGCGUAAAAGGUCCGGAACUUGCUCAUUAAACUUUCUUAGUGUAAAAAGUCUAGAACUGAUAAACAUGGAGUAUGUUGGAGAAUCAGAGAAGAAUAUCAGGGACAUCUUUGAGAAGGCUAGAUCAGCACGCCCAUGAGUAAUUUUCUUCGAUGAGCUUGAUUCCCUUGCUCCUGCACGAGUGUCCUCUGCAGAUUCUGGAGGUGUGAUGGACAUGGUUUCGCAGGUAUAAUGAACCUCAUCAAUGAGGUGGUGACCGUGUCUCAGUUUUCAAUGUUUAAAUGUUAGUAAACUAAUUCAGUUUCCCUUUUUCUGUCUUUACUAGCACAAAUGCUGACAGAGAUGCAUAUGUUUGGCAUUCUAUCAGUAACAUAAACUUGUGCUAGCUUGCAGCACUACAUUUUGUGAUUGUGUAGUAUCCACACCACUACUGAUUGUCUAUGCUCUUGCCUGAGAGCACGUGUUGUGCUUUGUAUCAUAUCGUCUAACAAAGAUGUAAACUCUGCAAGUAGAAACAGACUUUAGCACUGUGAUCCAGUAUGUAUUGAGUAUGGAUUAGUAUUUGGUAUGCUUGCAAAUGCUUAUUUAUUGCUUGCACCAGA